AGGAGAUACCUGUAGUAGAGAGGCCCAUUGAUGAUCCCCCUCAAGGAGGUCCUAUAGAUGAAUGUCAGUCUGAUCCACGUAUCCUUGAGAGUUCAGUAAAAGAUUUCAACGCGUUAACAGAUAUAUACUGGCCUGAAUCUUUAGGACCAUUAGAUUUGGAGAUGCCAUCUUCUAAAUACCAUAGUGAAGAUUUUGUUCUGAGUGAUAGUCUUAGUGGGUUGAACCGCCUUAUUGCCAGCAGUCUCGAUGCAUUUCAAAAUUGCUCCUUUUUUGGGGCGAACAAGAGAGAACCAACAGCAUCAAUUGAAGCUCGAGAAACGGCAUCCUUUUCAGAUUUUAAAAUUGGCAAUGGAAUUUGAGAUCUGCCAAAUGUUGGGGCUUCAAUUGUAGUACAGUGACUAUAACAUUUUCCUAAUGGCGGGGCUUCAAUGGGAGUUCAGUGACUAUAACAUUUUCUCAGUUUAGCUCUGACGUGAGGAUUGCAUGCCAAAGGUGCCCCUGCGAGCCCAAACGGAAUUCGAGCUUUCGUGUGUACAAUUCUCUGAUCAAAGGUUUUAAUUUGUACAAAUGUAGACAAAUUGUAUUUCGGCUUUUUAUUUGUUACUUAUUUUGUAAAUUGUGUAUUCCAGAGCUGAUGUAUGACCUCUGCAACCUGACCAGAUAAAUCGGGUUUCAGAUACCCUGAUGUUGUCGAGUUAUUUGUACAUUCUUUCUUCCUCAAUGUUUAUUCUGUUUAUGCUGUCGAUUUUGUUGA